UUGAAAGGGAAACGAUUGAAGUCAGUCGUACUGACGGGAAAUCAACUUCUCGAGUGCUUGUCGUGAAUGACGUUGAGCUUCACGGCCUUCGUUGCUUGCGUUAUGGUGCUUUUGAGGUGUACUUUUCCGUAUGGUAAGUCAAUAUCGAUUUUGAUCGUCAUAAAAUGAUCGGAGGAAUGUGGCUCUGAUCUUGUAUCGGAGUGUUAUAGCCUUUGAUAGAUGUGACGAUUGGGAUCGAGGAUUGCAACGAAUACCCUUUUGGGCUAUCCGUCUGACCUCUGAAAGUCGCUCGGGUGUCGAAAGCGUGCUUAUGACAUUUUAGUUGGCGGUCAAAAGGUUAGAACGUGAUUACAUUCGUUAAGGAUGUUGACGUA
rnacentral:rRNA from 1 species